rnacentral:rRNA from 1 species
CCGCGGCGCAUUAGCUAGUUGGUGGGGUAAAGGCUUACCAAGGCAAUGAUGCGUAGCCGAACUGAGAGGUUGAUCGGCCACAUUGGGACUGAGACACGGCCCAAACUCCUACGGGAGGCAGCAGUAGGGAAUCUUCCACAAUGGGCGAAAGCCUGAUGGAGCAACGCCGCGUGGGUGAAGAAGGUCUUCGGAUCGUAAAACCCUGUUGUUAGAGAAGAAAGUGCGUGAGAGUAACUGUUCACGUUUCGACGGUAUCUAACCAGAAAGCCACGGCUAACUACGUGCCAGCAGCCGCGGUAAUACGUAGGUGGCAAGCGUUAUCCGGAUUUAUUGGGCGUAAAGGGAACGCAGGCGGUCUUUUAAGUCUGAUGUGAAAGCCUUCGGCUUAACCGGAGUAGUGCAUUGGAAACUGGGAGACUUGAGUGCAGAAGAGGAGAGUGGAACUCCAUGUGUAGCGGUGAAAUGCGUAGAUAUAUGGAAGAACACCAGUGGCGAAAGCGGCUCUCUGGUCUGUAACUGACGCUGAGGUUCGAAAGCGUGGGUAGCAAACAGGAUUAGAU